GGUUUUGUGCCCACUUCUCGUCUAUCAUCUUUAUAGUUUUUUUUUAUCGGUUAUCGGAAAUGUGUUGAAAGAAGAUAAAUGCAUUGUACUUUUGCAGACUGCAGACAAAAUGAGUAUGAGUAUGAGUAAUACAUAGAUAGAUAGAUAAGAAAUUGUCAACGUUGAUCAGUUGAUGUCAUCGGUUUGAUCGGUUAGUGUUUUGUUUGUGUAAUAGUUGAGCAAUAUUCUACUAGAAUGGUGGCUUGAAAUAUUCGGUCUUAGAUGAUGUUUUAUAUUCUGUUGUAUUCGUUCGAUCGUUUACUUAUUGGAUUAGCUACCAACUUAGUCAACUUGAGUAUAUACAAAACUGUAGAUGAAGUUCUGGUAAUUGAUGAAUGGCUGAAUUGUUCUGUGUUUGUAGAUUUAUUCAUGAGUGUUCGAUCGAAAUUCGAAUUCGCCUUCGUCCGGUGAUCGUUUCAGUGUUCGUUGAUGCUUUUCUUUUUUCCGGUUACUUCGGUGUUACGAUUCAGUGUUCGGUUUCAUUUGUGUCAAGUGUCAACUGUUUAUUUCUCCAGUAAAAUGUGCAGAUGAUUCGGCGAUUGGGCGGUCACAAUAUUCAGAAAACAAUUUUGCAGUUGUUUGCUAGAUCGUUCCUAGAAAUUGGUUGUAUUUGCAAGCAUAUUUCGAUAACCGCCGAGCUGAAAUUGAUUCGAUAUCGAUUGGCAAUACCACAAUGCGAAAACUAGACAGCCAUACUCACCUAACAUCUAUCUGGACUAUCAACUCCAUCAACCCACAGGAUGUGUUCGAGUAUUGGUCCAGAUUUACUAUUUUGAGAGAUUUGAUUUGACAGCUUGAGUAGUGCAGUUGUAGUAGAGGAGUCGUUUAUCUCCAUCAAUGAUCAAAGGAAACAGUCAAAUGAUGUGGACAUUGGAUGAUGCCACAGGUAGUUCAGAGAGCGACUCGUCAUUAGUUUUCAUCUUUUUCAACCCAUCAAAUAUUCUUAUAGUGGGGCCAAUUAUCAUCUGAACUCUUUGUCAAACUGGUAUUGGCAUCAUCGUUGCUAUUGUUGCUGAAUUCAUUUGCUUGGAGAUGUGAUCUCCAUUUUCAGACUGUGGUGGUAAAGACACCAGGCCAGUAUCACGAUCUAAAUAAUUGAAAUUAGUGCGCAUUUCUUAUUUCUAUAUCAGUGCAUCAGCUGCAUCUCUAAUUUGUUUUAAUGUUCAUUCUGUUUAGGCAAUAUCACUAACGGAACAUAUUUUUGAGGAUCCUGAAUUUUGCAUACUGCUGAUGACUGCAUGUGAAUCAUGAGACUCAGUGUAACAAAAAUGAUGGCCCGAAGCUCAAGAGUUCUUAUAAUAAAGCCAAUAAUUAAUUACCAGCUCAGCAUAAUGUCAUCCAGCAUGGCAUGGUGCAGAUGGCUUGCAGAAUACCUGUUCUGUUAGAUGUGCUGAAGAAUACACCACUCACACAAAAGGAGUGCCAUGCAGCAGCAGCAGUUUGAUGGGAAUCAAGAGAUUUUUUAGGCUCUGGAAUAUGUCCCAGGUUUAGUUAAAUGAUAGAUGCCUUGGAAAAGAGAACUAAUUACUAAUUCUUCAAUUCUUGAUUAGAUUUUAUUGCGCAUUCACACAUGUGAAGCUGGAAGAUCCCAUAAUUUCAAAAAUGCUCGGAUACCUACAACAUGCAAGCUGGAAGAUUCUAUGACCCUAAUCAAUAUUCAAUAAUUAAUGGAUCGCAGUCAUAAGCCUAUACGCUGAUUAAAUUCUAAAAAUAAAAUCAUUAAAAUAAUUAAUAACCAUUAAUAAAUUGUAAUUUUACAACCAAUAAAAACCAUUUAUAAACA